rnacentral:rRNA from 1 species
AUUGAACGCUGGCGGCAUGCUUUACACAUGCAAGUCGAACGGCAGCGCGGGCUUCGGCCUGGCGGCGAGUGGCGAACGGGUGAGUAAUACAUCGGAACGUGCCCAGUAGUGGGGGAUAGCUCGGCGAAAGCCGGAUUAAUACCGCAUACGACCUGAGGGUGAAAGCGGGGGAUCUUCGGACCUCGCGCUAUUGGAGCGGCCGAUGGCAGAUUAGCUAGUUGGUGGGGUAAAGGCCUACCAAGGCGACGAUCUGUAGCUGGUCUGAGAGGACGGCCAGCCACACUGGGACUGAGACACGGCCCAGACUCCUACGGGAGGCAGCAGUGGGGAAUGUUGGACAAUGGGCGAAAGCCUGAUCCAGCAAUGCCGCGUGUGUGAUGAAGGCCUUCGGGUUGUAAAGCACUUUUGGCGGGAACGAAAAGGACUGUGCCAAUACCACGGUUCGAUGACGGUACCCGCAGAAUAAGCACCGGCUAACUACGUG